AAGACAGCAGCAGAGGUCUGUAAAAUGAGCAUCAGUUGCCAUGUAGCUUUGCUUUGUGUCUCGUGUAGAUAAUAAAAAUCGUGGCAGUUGAGAAGUAAAAUCGGGUAAAAGAGCUAUUAUUACGUUAAUUGAUAGUGCGCUGUUAUGCUAGAAGGACUGUAUUAUUAUUAUAGUUGCCGUGACACUGAAAACAAGGACAGAGGUACUUGUUAGUAAGACAGGCUGCUGGUUUUAUCUUUUGUUGUUGGUUGCUAACCAGCUGUGUAGCCGUUCAUCGCGGAAAACUAAAUUAACAAGACUGCCUCUUUAUAACCGGUUUGAAAGCAGCUUGUCACCGAAGACCGGCGAAUUUGCCGGUCCGUCCAUCCUCUACCCUCGGCGCUCCAGGGAUGCCCUUAAGGUGGAGGAACCCUGAAGAGGCACUUUCCUGGUCCUCCCCACUACAACUCUGGGCUCCACCUACAGCCCCCGCCCACGAUGGAGCACAGGAAGCAGCCCCCCUUCCUCGAUGAGCGUCCAGAGGCAGUCCAGAGGGCGUCCUGCUACGGGAUGGUGGAGCUGUUUAUUGAGACUCUGACAGGGACCUGCUUUGAGCUUCGGGUCUCUCUCUUUGACACGCUGCUGUCAGUUAAGGCCAAGAUCCAGAGGCUGGAAGGUGUUCCAAUAGGGCAGCAGCAUCUGAUAUGGAAUGGUGUGGAGCUGCAAAACGACAGGCGCUUGCACCAUUACAGCAUUUCAGAUGGAUGCACACUGAAGCUAGUGUUGGCCAUGAAGGGGGGGCCCAUCAGUACCCGCAAAGUACCCACAGGAGAAAUGAGCCUAGAGGCUACAGAUGAUGUGGAUGGCAUUCAGGAGGAUGUCUGGGAGAGGAGCCCACCCAACAAGCAGCUGGCCUUCUUGGUGUACUGCCAGGGCGAGCAGAUUAAUCUCUUCGGCAUCGUUGACCGAGGCGAUGGCAUGUUGACGCCUGUACCGGAGCUGUUGAGCACUGGCUCUGUGUAUAACCUCUACACGGAGAAGGCGGAGGAGGACGGGGAGAUCGAAAGCCCUACAGCAGCUCAGCAGACCUUGGAAAACUCUGUCACCAUGAAGAAAAUGAAACAGCUGAAGGCCAAGAUGGAGAACAUGAACCUUAGCAGGAAGACUGCAAAGCUGAGAGCCCAUCCUCCAGAGGGACCCUCCCCCUGCAGCAGUACCCUCACCCCUCGCCUGUUCCCUGUACUUCCCCAAAUUGGCCAGCUACUGCCCCCUACUGGGGGCCCACCUUCAACACAUGCCUCAGAUGCUUGGGAAUGCCCUUUCCUCGGCCAGACACAGACUUCGUCUAAGGUGUCCCAGCUGGAGGGGGACACCUCCAAACUGCUGAAGGACAGAGUCUUCCCUGCACGACCUAUACUGGGUAGCUCAUCAGGGGAGGAGUCCAAAGUGCAGUUGAUAGAUGACUCAGUUCUGAUGGACCCGCUGGCCUUUCAGCAACCAGAACCUCUUUGCUUGGACCGCUCAGCACCCAGUCUGGACAAUUCAACCCAGAUCCCUAGUGGUGCAGCCACCCUGUUGCCACUGCUUCCCGGGGGCGUGGCCUCCCCAGAGACUCAACCAAUUGGUGCUGAGCGCUGCAAGCUCCCUCCCCUCCACCUUCCCUCGGAGCCGAUUGUUCCCGCCUCCCGUGGCGCCCGCCUCGAGUGCUUCCAAGGGGGCCCUCUGCAGGCAGUCGUCAUUCCUGGGAACGGAGGCCAGGACUUUUCUGAGGUGACGGGCCUGAUAUCACUGUGUCCGAAUCAGGGAGACACAGGGAGCCUGCUGAGGAAGGUGUCCACUGUGGAGGCCGCACCAAUGUCCGUGCCUGGAUGUGCCCGAGGUGCUUGCGGCGUUCCUUCUGGCCCAGUGAGAAGAACAGGCGCCCUGUCAUGCAGCUUGCCGCCAGUGAAGAUCCCGGCAGCUCCCAAGAAGAAGAACUCCAAGCACUGCUCCAUGUGCGGGAAGAGAACCGGAUUAGCGUCCAGCUAUGAGUGCAGGUGUGGGAACAAUUUCUGUGCAUCACACCGCUAUCCAGAGGCCCAUGGAUGCAGCUUCGACUACAAGGGCGUGGGUCGCCGCAUCCUGCAGGACAGCCUCCCUGUCGUCAGUGCCCCCAAGCUUCCCAAAAUCUGAAGCUGCUGCGCUGGAGUCUGAAUUGUGGGAGCCUCAUACAUGGACACAAAAUUAAACAAUUUGACACUAGCCAGUUGUUUCUUUACCCACUGAGUCCGUGCCCCCUGUAAAGUGUGAUUCUGUUCCUCGGUGAGUCCAUGCCCCACCUUACCUCCAUGAUGUGAUUCUGCCCCUCUGGGUCUGUGCCUCUCCCCUUCUCUAAGGUGAGACUCUGCCCCUCUGGGUCUGUGCCUCUCCCCCUCUCUAAGGUGAGACUCUGACCCUCUGGGUCUGUGCCUCUCCCCCUCUCUAAGGUGAGACUCUGCCCCUCUGGGUCUGUGCCUCUCCCCCUCUCUAAGGUGAGACUCUGCCCCUCUGGGUCUGUGCCUCUCCCCCUCUCUAAGGUGAGACUCUGCCCCUCUGGGUCUGUGCCUCUCCCCCUCUCUAAGGUGAGACUCUGACCCUCUGGGUCUGUGCCUCUCCCCCUCUCUAAGGUGAGACUCUGCCCUUCCAAGUCCCUUCUCUGCCCUAUCGCUAUCAUGUGUGAAGUGUGACUCUGCCCCUUUUGAGUCAGUGCCUCACCCUAUCCCCAUGAUGUGACUCUAACCCUCUGAGUCUGUGCCUCUCCCCGUUUCUAAGGUGUGACACGGCCCCUCUGAGUUCAUGCCCCUCCCUGUCUCCAUGGGGUGACCCCACCCUGCUUUCAGAAAUCGACUCUGUAAUGUAUCUGGCACAUGGCUGAAACUGUAGCAUGACAAAGGGUGCAUAGGGACAGCCUGAGUCACCUAAUUUUUUAAAAUUUCUUUUGCGUUUUUCUCUAAAAUGCACUUUAAUAAUUAAUAUGCAUACCUCUAUUUGACAGUAACUUUAGGGUAUUUUAUGUAUUUCUUUAUUUGGAUACAUCCCAUCUUUGUGUUGGUGUAAAUCCAGCCUUGGAUGAAAGGAGCAGGCAGAUUCUGUUAGCAGUACAGCUGUUUAUUGUCUCUCAUUAACAACACAUGAAUGCAAUAAAAUGACUAGUGUGUGGAUGUUUGGAAUGUUUUGGGAUAAAAAACAUGUAUGAAACUGGUAACGCCAUAAUUUUUUUUUGAUGCCAGUUUUUAAUGAGUCGUUUUGCUGUUAAAUAAAAAAUAAACCAGGUGGCAUGUUUUAA